rnacentral:rRNA from 1 species
AUUGAACGCUGGCGGCAGGCCUAACACAUGCAAGUCGAACGAGUGGCGGACGGGUGAGUAAUGUCUGGGAAACUGCCCGAUGGAGGGGGAUAACUACUGGAAACGGUAGCUAAUACCGCAUACCAUCGGUAGUUGGCAGAUGGAAUGAGCUAGUAGGUGGGGUAACGUCUCACCUAGGCGACGAUCCGUAGCUGGUCUGAGAGGAUGACCAGCCACACUGGAACUGAGACACGGUCCAGACUCCUACGGGAGGCAGCAGUGGGGAAUAUUGCACAAUGGGCGCAAGCCUGAUGCAGCCAUGCCGCGUGUAUGAAGAAGGCCUUCGGGUUGUAAAGUACUUUCAGCUAGGAGGCGUUACUAGCAGAAGAAGCACCGGCUAACUCCGUGCCAGCCGCCGCGGUAAUAC